AACGGGGGGAACAAGCGUUAUUCAUCAUGACUGGGCGUAAAGGGUCUGUAGAUGGUUACAAAGGUUUAUAGAUAACAUAAGUUUAUUAAAACCCUGUUUCUAGAGUUUAGGGGAGGAUAGAGGGUACUCUUAGAGGAGAAGUAAAAUUUGUAGAGACUAAUGGGGACUACCAGCAGGCGUAAGCGUCUAUCUAUAAUAAAACUGACAUUGAGGGACUAAAGUAUGGGGAGCAAAUGAG
rnacentral:rRNA from 1 species